AUUGAACGCUGGCGGCAGGCCUAACACAUGCAAGUCGAACGAGCGGCGGACGGGUGAGUAAUGUAUGGGGAACUGCCCGAGGGAGGGGGAUAAAUACUGGAAACGGUGGCUAAUACCGCAUACUAUCGGAUGAACCCAGAUGGGAUGAGCUAGUAGGUGGGGUAAGGGGUCCCCUAGGCGACGAUCCCUAGCUGGUCUGAGAGGAUGAUCAGCCACACUGGGACUGAGACACGGUCCAGACUCCGACGGGAGGCAGCAGUGGGGAAUAUUGCACAGUGGGCGCGAGCCUGAUGCAGCCAUGCCGCGUGUAUGAAGAAGGCCUUCGGGUUGUAAAGUACUUUCAGCGGGGGGGCGUUACCCGCAGAAGAAGCACCGGCUAACUCCGUGCCAGCAGCCGCGGUAAUAC
rnacentral:rRNA from 1 species